rnacentral:lncRNA from 1 species
UUUCCGCUUCCGGUGGCGUUUUAGCGGGAGAUCCGAGCGUCUCGGCUGGUGGAAGGGGCGAGGAGCUUUGCAGUUGUGUGCGAGUGUGUACAGGGACAGAGUCCUGAGCAAGGAAACCUAGAAGGGAGAGAGGAAUACCAUGGAAUUGAGUCCUGUCUGGUAGCACUGACAGACACAGUGGCCAGCCACCCUCAUGCCACCCUGUCCUGCCAUGGGAAGGAACAGCAGCUCUAGAGUUCCUAUGGGAACUCUCUUUCCUUCUCACUGAACUCUAGCUUCAUCAAUAACUCAGUGCCUCUGGCCAAGUUUUUAGCCUCUGGGACAACAUCCACUAUAUCCAUAUGAGGCACUCAUGUAACACGGUGAUUAAGAGUACAGAUGCUGAAGCCAGCAGCCUAAGUCUGAAUCCUGACUGCCAAUUAUUAAUAUAAGUUGUGGAACCAUGGUCAAGUUACUCAACCUCUUUAUGCCUCUGUCUCCUGGUCUACGAAAUGAAGCUUUGAAUCUGCUGUUAUUAAGUUGCUGGUGCUGAAAUAACACUUAUUAUUUAUGAUCUAACUGAAAUGGGAACACUGGAAACUUCUUUGAAACUGAAGAAAAAAAUGAAAAAGAAGUUUUUACAAUCAAAACUGCCAUGAAGACUGCUUUACCCAAAAUUUUGGUCCACAGCUUUCAUUGAAUUACUUAUCAGGGCAAACAAAGUUUAGCCAUGUGAACACGUUCCAAUUUUGUUGGAAAUAAUUUGGAUCCAGCUAUCUUUAUACAAUGGUGAGUUCGUAUUGCAUCUCAUGGCUAAAAUACUGAGGUAAAGGCUUUUGGAUCUUUGUGUGUGUGUGUGUGCAUGUGACAAAAACAAGCAAUGGGGAAAGGAGUCCCUAUUUAAUAAAUGGUGUUGGGAGAACUGGCUAGCCAUAUGCAGAAAGUUGAAACUGGAGCCCCUCCUUAUACCAUAUACAAAAAUCAACUCAAGAUGAAUUAAAGACUUAAAUGUAAAAACCCAAACUAUAAAAACCCUAGAAGAAAAUCUAGGCAAUACCAUUCAGGACAUGGGCACAGGCAAAUAUUUCAUGACAAAGAUGCCAAAAGCAGUAGCAACAAAAGCAAAAAUUGACAAAUGGAAUCUAAUUAAACUAAAGAGCUUCUGUACAGCAAAGAAAUUAUCAUCAGAGUGAACAGACAGCUUACAGCAUGGGAGAAAAUUUUUGCAGUAUAUCCAUCUGACAAAGGUCUAAUAUUCAGCAUCUACAAGGAACUUAAACAAAUUUACAAGAAAAAAAAACAACGCCAUUAAAAAAUGGGCAAAGGACGUGGACAGACACUUCUCAAAAGAAGAAAUUUAUGUGGGCAAUGAACAUUUUUUUUAAAAAAGCUCAACACCACUGAUCAUUAGAGAAAUGCACAUGAAAACCACAAUGAGAUACCAUCUCACACCAGUCAGAAUGGCUAUUACUUAAAGGUCAAAAAACAACAGAUGAUAGCAAGGUUGUGAAGAAAAAUGAACACUUUUAUACGUUGGUUGGAGUAUAAAUUAGUUCUACCCUUGUCGAAGACAGUGUGGUGAUUCCUCAAAGACCUAGGGGAAGAAAUAUCAUUUGACCCAGCAAUCUCAUUACUGGGUAUAUACCCAGAGGAAUAUAAAUCAUUCUAUUAUAAAGAUACAUGUGCAUGUUCAUUGCAAAAUAGCAAAAACAUGGAAUCAACCUAAAUGCUCAUCAAUGACAGACUUGAUAAAGGAAAUAUGGUACGUAUACACCAAGGAAUACCAUGCAGCCAUAAAAAGGAACAAGAUAAUGUCUUUUGCAGGGACCUGGAUGGAACCAGAAGCCAUUAUCCUCAGCAAAUUAAUGCAGGAACAGAAAAGCAAAUACCACAUGUUCUCACUUGUAAGUGGUAGCUGAAUGAUGAGAACACAUGGACACAUGGUGGGGAACAAUACACACUGGGGCCUGUUGCAGGGUGCGGAGUGGGAGGGAGAGCAUCGGGAAGAAUAGCUAAUGCAUGCUGGGCUUAAUACCUAGGGGAUGGAAUGAUCUGUGCUGCAAACCACUAUGGCACACAUUUACCUAUGUAACAAACCUACACAUCCUGCACAUGUACCCCUGACCUUAAAAUAAAAGUUGGAAAUAAAAAAAACCCUAAACAUAUACCUAC